rnacentral:rRNA from 1 species
GCCUACGGGAGGCAGCAGUGGGGAAUCUUGGACAAUGGGCGCAAGCCUGAUCCAGCCAUGCCGCGUGAGUGAUGAAGGCCCUAGGGUCGUAAAGCUCUUUCGCCAGAGAUGAUAAUGACAGUAUCUGGUAAAGAAACCCCGGCUAACUCCGUGCCAGCAGCCGCGGUAAUACGGAGGGGGUUAGCGUUGUUCGGAAUUACUGGGCGUAAAGCGCGCGUAGGCGGACCAGAAAGUAAGGGGUGAAAUCCCAGGGCUCAACCCUGGAACUGCCUCUUAAACUCCUGGUCUUGAGUUCGAGAGAGGUGAGUGGAAUUCCGAGUGUAGAGGUGAAAUUCGUAGAUAUUCGGAGGAACACCCAGUGGCGAAGGCGGCUCACUGGCUCGAUACUGACGCUGAGGUGCGAAAGUGUGGGGAGCAAACAGGAUUAGAUACCCUGGUAGUCCACACCGUAAACGAUGAAUGCCAGUCGUCGGGUAGCAUGCUAUUCGGUGACACACCUAACGGAUAAGC